rnacentral:rRNA from 1 species
GAUGAACGCUGGCGGCGUGCCUAAUACAUGCAAGUCGAGCGAACGGACGAGAAGCUUGCUUCUCUGAUGUUAGCGGCGGACGGGUGAGUAACACGUGGAUAACCUACCUAUAAGCCUGGGAUAACUUCGGGAAACCGGAGCUAAUACCGGAUAAUAUUUUGAACCGCAUGGUUCAAAAGUGAAAGACGGUCUUGCUGUCACUUAUAGAUGGAUCCGCGCUGCAUUAGCUAGUUGGUAAGGUAACGGCUUACCAAGGCAACGAUGCAUAGCCGACCUGAGAGGGUGAUCGGCCACACUGGAACUGAGACACGGUCCAGACUCCUACGGGAGGCAGCAGUAGGGAAUCUUCCGCAAUGGGCGAAAGCCUGACGGAGCAACGCCGCGUGAGUGAUGAAGGUCUUCGGAUCGUAAAACUCUGCUAUUAGGGAAGAACAUAUGUGUAAGUAACUGUGCACAUCUUGACGGUACCUAAUCAGAAAGCCACGGCUAACUACGUG